rnacentral:lncRNA from 1 species
AGCGUGACCAAAGCAAGUAGUCACUUGGAUGUCUAUCCACUCGUCAGUGACUUACUUGAUGCUGCAGUUGUAUGACUGGUCGUUUAACCUGCAAUGCCUCGGCUAUUCACAGUGAGGUUGCUGUAGUUUGACGAGCACAUAAACAUGGGCCCUAUCCAUUUGGGUCCUUGUGGUGCAGAUUGGCUGCAGUAGGUUCAUUGCAGGAGUAGGAGUGCAUCUAGAUGGAAUCUAUCGACCUUGAUAGAUUAGGAGAGAUCUUAUGUGAUUUAUGAGACUGAGUUCGUAAAUCCUUGGCCAAGGUAGUUUUUGGAAAAUGAGUUUUCCAAUCUCGAACUGGAGUCGAAUAAAUUUUACAUAUGACAGAUGAUGGGGUUUGACGAGUUAUCCAUGACCUCCAUCCUGU